CAUACCUAUUCGAAGGGAUAGGGUCGGUUCGGCCGGAUUUUACACAAGUGUUGCAUGGCUGUCGUCAGCUCGUGUCGUGAGAUGUUGGGUUAAGUCCUGCAACGAGCGCAACCCUCAUCCUUAGUUGCUAUCAGGUAAUGCUGAGUACUUUAAGGAAACUGCCAGUGAUAAGCUGGAGGAAGGUGGGGAUGAUGUCAAGUCAUCAUGGCCUUUAUGGAGUGGGCUACACACGUGCUACAAUGGUGUCUACAAUGGGCUGCAAGGUGCGCAAGCCUAAGCUAAUCCCUAAAAGACAUCUCAGUUCGGAUUGUACUCUGCAACUCGAGUACAUGAAGUUGGAAUCGCUAGUAAUCGUGGAUCAGCAUGCCACGGUGAAUACGUUCUCGGGUCUUGUACACACUGCCCGUCACGCCAUGGGAAUUGGUUUCACUCGAAGCU
rnacentral:rRNA from 2 species